AAGACAUUAGUAAAAUUAUUACAUAACUUUGUCAAAGUUAACUUAUAGGUUAAAACCCUUUAUGUCUUU
rnacentral:tRNA from 1 species